rnacentral:rRNA from 1 species
CUACGGGAGGCAGCAGUGAGGAAUAUUGGACAAUGGGUUAGCGCCUGAUCCAGCCAUCCCGCGUGAAGGACGACGGCCCUAUGGGUUGUAAACUUCUUUUGUAUAGGGAUAAACCUUUCCACGUGUGGAAAGCUGAAGGUACUAUACGAAUAAGCACCGGCUAACUCCGUGCCAGCAGCCGCGGUAAUACGGAGGGUGCAAGCGUUAUCCGGAUUUAUUGGGUUUAAAGGGUCCGUAGGCGGAUCUGUAAGUCAGUGGUGAAAUCUCACAGCUUAACUGUGAAACUGCCAUUGAUACUGCAGGUCUUGAGUAAGGUAGAAGUGGCUGGAAUAAGUAGUGUAGCGGUGAAAUGCAUAGAUAUUACUUAGAACACCAAUUGCGAAGGCAGGUCACUAUGUCUUAACUGACGCUGAUGGACGAAAGCGUGGGGAGCGAACAGGAUUAGAAACCCCAGUAGUCC